GCAAAGGUUCUCUACUUGGAGAUUGCUUUCUUCGGAGCAUUUGGUGAACCCUGAUCCUCGGAAAGGGGGGUUGGAAGGGAGCUCUGGAGAUCAUCUAAUCCAAUUCAUCUUCUAAAGCAGAUUUCCUACAAGAGGUUGCACAGCUGUAUGUGAAAAUCUGGAGCGAGGGUUAUCCAGCCAAAUUUCAUCAUCUGCCAGCUAGAAGGCCUGUAGCAAGGUGGAGAAGCUGGCAUUUGCAUUGAGAUUCCAAUUAAGUUGAAAUUAGCAUGAACCUCUGUUCGGUUGCUGAUGUUUAAUGUAUGGCAGAUGAAAUGGUACUUUGAUAAACGGACUCCAAGGAUUGUUAUGACAUUUCUCGUCUGCAUCCUACAACGUGAUUAGACUGCCAUAGUGCUGCGUGAUUAAUAGAGUUAGUUCUAUCUGCACUGAACCUCUCUGGCACAGGAAUCUCUUAGAAACAGUGUACCUCAGAAAUGCUUGCAUUGCAUCCUAUUGUCAAAAUCCAACCAACCAGAAAUGAGGUACGUCAGCCAUGCCAUGUGUUGCAGGGGUUGGCUGA